GCCAAGUUUGGGGACCCCUGCUCUAGGCCACUGCAUGACUUCUGGUUCUCUCCUCUAUAAGCAUCCCAAAUUGGGGGUGGGUGGGCUGCUGGGUGGGGCUUGAAAGCAGCAAAGAAUGUUUAUUCAGGUAUUUGCAAAGACGGGUGUACAAAAGGUGGACCCAGAAGGAAGCAUCCAUCCUUCCGUCCCCUGCACAAGUUCAGAUAACAGAAAAUCAGAGUUGGAAGGGACCUUGUAGAUCAUCUAGUCCAACCCCCCCGAUGGCAGGCUCAGACCCCUAGAGAGGAGAGGAUGGCAGAACUGCUGCACCUUCUGUGUAUGCUCAAGAGCAUCAUUCAUACGAAAAGCGAUCCUUUAAAAGAAUCAUAAAGGAGUCCUUUGGGAGUUGGGCGGCAUAUAAGUUUAAUUAAAUAAAUUAAAUACAUUAAAUAAAUAACGAGCGUUUAUAUUAUAGGAACAGGGAGUUGCUAUUGCUUCUUUAAAAAAGCAGACGUUAAAUGGAACAAGUCUAAACUGUUUUGAUGCUAUGCAGGAGCUAAGGGCUGAAACGGCAGCUGUGGGAAAACCACAAGACGGGCGAGCCUGAAUGCCAGUGGAAACCACAAGCCAAGGAAGUAGGAAAAGAAGAAUAACAGAUUAACAGAGUUGGAAGGGAAAGGACCUUAAUGCUAGCAAAAAAACAGGCCGUGGUUAACCAAAUAGGUAACAGGGGAAGCAUGAACCAUAUCAGUUUUUGUGAUUUUGAGCCUCGGUGGCGCAGUGGUGAGAGUGCAGUACUUCAGGCUACUUCUGCUGAUUGCUGCCUGCCUGCAAUUCGGCAGUUUGAAUCCCACGAGGCUCCAGGUUGACUCAGCCUUCCGUCCCUCCAAGGUCAGUAAAAUGAGGAGCCAGAUUGUUGGGGGCCAGAGGCUGACUUUGUAAACUGCUUAGAGAGGGCUGUUGAGCACUAUAAAGCAGUAUGUAAGUCUAAGGGCUAUAGCUAACUUCUGUCUACAUCAUCUGUCUGUCUGUCUGUCUGUCUGUCUGUCUGUCUGUCUGUCUGUCUGUCUAUCUAUCUAU
rnacentral:lncRNA from 1 species